rnacentral:rRNA from 1 species
CCUACGGGAGGCAGCAGUGGGGAAUCUUGCACAAUGGGCGAAAGCCUGAUGCAGCGACGCCGCGUGGAGGAUGAAGGCCUUCGGGUUGUAAACUCCUUUUGUAGGGGACAAUAAUGAUGGUACCCUAUGAAUAAGCCACGGCUAACUCUGUGCCAGCAGCCGCGGUAAUACGUAGGUGGCUAGCGUUAUCCGGAUUCACUGGGCGUAAAGCGCGUGCAGGCGGUUCCGUAAGUCGGACGUGAAAGCUCCUGGCUUAACUGGGAGAGGUCGUUCGAUACUGCGGGGCUUGAGGUCGGGAGAGGGACGUGGAAUUCCCGGUGUAGUGGUGGAAUGCGUAGAUAUCGGGAGGAACACCAGUGGCGAAGGCGGCGUCCUGGCCCGCACCUGACGCUAAGACGCGAAAGCGUGGGUAGCGAACGGGAUUAGAUACCCCGGUAGUCCACGCUGUAAACGGUGGAUACUAGGUGUUGGUGGCUAUCGUCAUCAGUGCCGUAGCUAACGCGUUAAGUAUCCCGCCUGGGGACUACGGCCGCAAGGCUAAAACUCAAAGGAAUUGACGG